rnacentral:lncRNA from 1 species
UUCAAAUAUUCCGGUCUUUUCUAUUUCCAAAUCCCAAUAUUUUAAAUAUUUCUAAGUUUUAUUUGAUUUUAGUAAAAGAAAUGGACCAGAAUUUGUUGAAUUUUUGGAAAAACUACGAGCACAUAAUCGAUUGGGGUUAUCGAAUUUCAGGGGCUAGAGGAACGGAUAGCAGUGGAUCAUCGGCACCAAUCAAUACUGAAACUAUAGAAAUUAAUACUUGUAGAACUUUUAACACCAAUGAAAAUGAAUACGAUGCUUGUGAAUAUUCUUCCGAUAGCAGUGUUGAUAUUGAUUUAGAAUAUUUAAAGUUUUCUAAAAAAACAUUGUAACAUCAAGAAAAAGUAGAAUUAGAAAAGAGAAAAGUUGACAAAGAGUACGGAUUGUGCAAUUCACCAAGUUUUGAAAAUGAAUGUACCAGUACAAUCAAGGUAAAUGAGAUUAAUCCAAUAGAAUUCUAUGGCUCGAAGAUAAAUGAGAUUGAAUGUCUUGAAAAUA